rnacentral:rRNA from 1 species
UCCAGACUCCUACGGGAGGCAGCAGUGGGGAAUAUUGCACAAUGGGGGGAACCCUGAUGCAGCGACGCCGCGUGAAGGAAGAAGUAUUUCGGUAUGUAAACUUCUAUCAGCAGGGAAGAAAAUGACGGUACCUGACUAAGAAGCCCCGGCUAACUACGUGCCAGCAGCCGCGGUAAUACGUAGGGGGCAAGCGUUAUCCGGAUUUACUGGGUGUAAAGGGGGCGCAGACGGCGAUGCAAGCCAGGAGUGAAAGCCCGGGGCCCAACCCCGGGACUGCUCUUGGAACUGCGUGGCUGGAGUGCAGGAGGGGCAGGCGGAAUUCCUGGUGUAGCGGUGAAAUGCGUAGAUAUCAGGAGGAACACCGGUGGCGAAGGCGGCCUGCUGGACUGCAACUGACGUUGAGGCCCGAAAGCGUGGGGAGCAAACAGGAUUAGAUACCCCGGUAAA